UCAUCUAUGUGCUGCCCCAGGCUUGUUUACCUCAUUUAAGUGCUGUUCAUCCUGCUUUCCUGUUUCCUCCAUGUCUGGCUGGCCCCUGCCUGGUGGCUGGCCCACGGCUGCUCCCUGGUGUCUCUUUUUCUUUCUCCCCUUGAGCCUAAAUUCCUCCUCCAACUUAUUCUCCCUGAAUGCAAGUUCCACCUAUACCUCCUCUACCUAGCUACUGGCUGUCCAGCUUCUUAAUUGGCCAAUCAGGUGCCUCAGGCAGGCAAGGUAAAACAGCAACACACCUUUACAUAGUUUAAACAAAUGCAGCAUAAACAAAAGCAACACAUCUUUACAUAGUUAAACAAUUAUUCUGCAACACAAACAAAUACAUCUUUACAUAGUUAAACAAAUAUUCUAUUCCACAACAAAUCCCCGUUGGUGUUCAGAUGGGAACUGGCUCUGGGAAACAGAUCACUUACUGCGAAGCAGCUGGAUCCUAAUCUAGACACCCCGUAUCUGUAGGAGAGCUGAAACUUUGUUCUCUGUCACUCAUUUCCACCUUUGAUCUUGUUCUGAGAUCUGAAGCCAGAUGAACACCCGCUCAGGUACGGAAGACUCUUUCCACCCGCUCCGCCCACACCCACUAAUGCCAUUCAUCAUCUAUUGAAUACCAGGGACUGCAAAGUGCCCUUCCAUUCAAACUAGAUGCAGUGCAUGAGCCUCGCCUCUGAGUCCCACUCACGGGGUGCACUGGAGGUCCAUAUUACCGAUUCUUUCUGCCUCUCAACAUUGUCGUGUGCGACUCUUACAGAUGUGUUAGCACAGUGCCAGAGCAGUGAACAUUGAAGCGGGAAAAAACCUCACGCGAGUUCUUCACACGCCCGCAUCCCUUCACCAUCUCCCUUUGAAUUACUUUUCAGACCCUCCCCCAUUUGGGUUUUCAGAGACAAGGUCUCUCUGUGUAGUCCUCCCUGCUGCCCUGGAACUCAACUCUGUAGUCUAGGCUGGCCUCAAACUCGUGGCGGUCUCCCUUUCUCUGCCUCUUGAGUAUUGGUGAAAUUAUCAAGGCCACUCCACAUAGUUAAAAGGGAGGUUUAUUUUGUGGGGUAACUUACAAGUGAAUGGAUAGUUGACAGAGUCUGGGAAAGGUGUGGCGCAGUCCGGCGGUGUUCUCUGGAGAGCUCUGCUCGGUCUACCUCCAGCGUCCAGGGUCCAGGAACCAAGAGAGCCCAUGCAUCAGUAUCUCAGAUCUUUAGGGUCCUCUCUUGGCCCCGCCUUGUAGGCGUGACAGUUACUGAAGCCUCAAUGGGGGUUGCAACUUCCAGAUCAAAGCUGGAAUGGCUACCCACUACACCUGAGCGCUGGGAUUACAGGUGUGUGCCACCACACCCAACUUAAUUAUUUUAAAUUUUAAAUUAUUUAAUUAUUUUAUGUGUAUGGGUGUUUUGGUCACAAGUAUAUCUGUGCACCACAUGUGUGCCAUACCCAUGGAGGCCAGAAGAGGACAUUGGAUUCCCUGGUACUGGAGUUACAAAUGGUUGUGAGCUGCUGUGUGGGUGCUGGGAAUCUAACCUAGAUCUCUAGAAGAGUGACCACUGUUCUUAACUCCUGAGACAUCUCUCCAGCACCCCCAAUCCUGACUUAUUUUUUUUUUUAUGGUGAAAAAAAAUGUAUACUUAGAAUUAGCCAGCUGGACUCACUUUAGAUGAUCCCAAUUUUGUUGGCAACAUCUAGAACAUUAUAAUCUGGAGCCAAGUGAACACACACCCUCUCUCCAUCAGGCCUUAUGAGGGUGUUGACUUUGGCCACAUCAGUGUCAGAGUUUCUUCACAGCGUGUUUGAUCUGGUGUUUGUUAGCCUUGACAUCCACAAUGAGCACAAGUGUGUUGUUAUCUUCUGUCUUCUUCAUGGAUGACUCAGUGGUCGGUGGGACUGUGAUGAUGGCAUAGUGGUCAAGCUUGUUUCUCCUGGGCUCAUUCUUUCAAGGGUAUUUGGGCUGCUCCGGAGCUGCAGGGUUGGGCUGUCAGAAGGUGGGUGAUGUGUGGAUCUUCUUUUUAUGACUGUGGACACCUUUCAGCACUGCCUUCUUGGCUUUCAAAGCCUUGGCUUUGGCUUUGGGAGGGGCAGGAGUUUCCCCCUUCACUUUUGGUGCCAUCUUGGUGAAAAGAGUUGCCUAUGCGACUAAAAAUUUUAAAGAAAAACUUUCCUUCCUUUUUGGAUCAUUUAUUUUAUGUGGAAGCUAAUGAAAAGGCAAUGUUUAUAAAACUUCAUUUGGCAAAAAAUAUAAACUUUGUAUAUGGAUUUGCUUUUGUUUCUGUCUCAGGACCCAUACCAAAUGCAUUAUGUUGCUCUUAUUCUUGAGAAAUGUUCCUGACACUUUUUUUCCAGGCUACAGAAGUGACUCAAUACCUUUAUGUUAAAGUGUAAAGAAAGAACAUGGCCCAGAAAAAAACUGUAGAAGGAAUCCUAUAGCCAUCCCCUUUAGAUGCAAAAGCUCUCUCUCUCUCUCUCUCUCUCUCUCUCUCUCUCUCUCUCUCUCUCUCUCUCUCUCUCUCUCUCUUAUGUGGAGGUGUGGUGUGUGGUGCAUCUUCAUAUGUGUGGAGUGCACUCACCUGUGCAUGUGGAGGCCGGAGCUCUCCACCUAGACUUUUCACACAGGACCUCUCUCUGGGCCUGAAGCUCCUUGAUUGGCUAGAUCUGCUGGCCAGGGAGCCUCCGGCACUGGAAUUACAGGCUCACCCCCAUGUCUGGUUUGUACCUGGAUGCUGGGCAUCUGAACUGAGGUCUCAUACUUCUGCAGCAAACAGUUUAUCCACUGAGCCAUAUUCCCAGUCUAAGAUGCAAAAAUUCAGGCUGGAGAGAUGGCUCAGAGGUUAGGAGCACUGACUCCUCUUCCAGAGGUCCUGAGUUCAAUUCCCAGCAACCACAUGGUGGCUCACAACCAUCUGUAAUGAGAUCUGGUGCCCUCUUCUGGCCUGCAGUCACACAUGCUGUAUACAUAAAAUAAAUAAAUAAAUCUAAAAAAAAAAGAUGCAAAAAUUCUUAACAAAAUUUUUGCAAGUAGAACCCAACCAUACUAUAUGUAAAAGAGAAAAAUGUCAAGAGCAAACAUGGUUUAGCCCAUCAAUCAAAGUUGGCUUAACAUUCAUAUGUAAUCAAUAUAAUUCAUUGUGUUAAUACACUAGUAAAGAAAAAGAAAUGAUCUUAGUAGAUGCAGAGAGGGUAUUAAUAAUAUCAAAAUCCAUUCCUAACAAAACACUCAGCAAAAGGGGAAAUGGCUUGACCCAAUAAACAGUAACUCCAGGAAAAACUACAGUUGCCAUUGUGUCCCAGGAUGAGAAGCUAAGUUCCUACGUAAGAUGUUAACUGAGGAAUACAGUGAUUUUCACAGCAUGGCAUUGAGGGCCUAACUAGUGUAAUAAGGAAAGAAGAUGAAUAGAAGCCACACAGAUUAGAAAGGAAUAAUAAAGCUAUCUUUACUAAAUUCUGUGAUUGCCUAUGUAGAAAAGCUAACUGAGUCUUCCCCUCAAAGCUACUAAAAGUAGUAAGUUUAGUAAGAUCACAAGAUUAAAAUGUCUACUGAAUUACUUUAUUAUAUUUCUGUACACUAGCAACAAAAAUCCAUAUCUUAAAAUACCACCUAAAUUAGAACAAAAUAUAAGUUAGGGGCAAAUGUUUCAAAUGAGCAUCAUUUCCACACUGAAAAGUGUAAGAGGUUUCUGAGACGAACUAAAGACCUACGUAAGUGGAAGAACAGAUUUACCAUGAGUUAUGAUAUUCAGUAUGGCUGAGAUGUUAAUUCUUUCCAAGUUAAUGUACAAAUUCAAAGUGAUUCCCAUCAGGACCCUUGUCAACUUACCUUUUUAGAAAUAUACUUGGUUUCAAAGUGUAUACAAAAAUGUGUAAACCUAAGAGUCAAAAAGUCCAUUCUCAUUUUUCCUGACAGUCACAGUUCUAUGAAGUACUCAUGACACUGAACUUAGCAAAUACUGAAUCUCUGUUCUAGGGGGAAAGUAGGGUGCAAUCCUGUGAGCUCCUGAUCGUAGCAUUCAUCGAUAAACGCAAAACCUUCUUUUCCCGCCUUCCUUCCUUCCUCCCUCCCUCCCUCCCUCCCUUCCUUCCUUCCUUCUUUUCUUUAUUUGCUUAUUUCUUUCUUCCUUCAUUCCUUCUUCAGCUGAGAGCGAAUGUUUUGGGGAACUUGGUAUUUUCCAUACUUCACAAUGUGUCUAUGAAUAGUAGAAAAUGACAAAGUAUCAAUUUGGAGAUAUAAGUAAAUUUUUAGCAAGUAGGUGAAUUCACAAAUAUAUAAUCUGUGAAUAAAGUGCAUUUGAUUAAAACUCUGAAAAAGAAAAACAGAAUUGUUGGUUUGAAGCUACCUGGCUUUAGGACUAUUUAAAAAGCAGAGUAUAAUCAAUAAAUAUAAUACAAUCAAGACUAGUCUUGUUUUUUUUAAUUUUACCAUGCAACAAAACCUUUAUUUUAAGAUAAUGUAGUCUUGAUGUAAAGAUAUACAUUUAGGCAUUUGGAACAGAAUAUACAGUGCAUGAAUAAUUCUUGAUGCAUAUGAUGAAAUGAUUUUUGAGGAGGGCAUGAAAGCAAUCCAAUGAGGAAAUAAUAUGUUUUUUAAAAGUUACAGCAAAAAUUGGAUAUAUACACACAUAUAUAUGUAUAUAAUAUCUCGUCAUUACCCCAUACCAUGAAGACAAACAAUUCAAAGUGGAUUUCAAGAAAAACAUAAGAAAUACCAUCAAAUAUCCAGGUGAAAAUACAGGAGAAUCUUGGUGACCCCAGGUUUGGCAAGAAUUUCUUAAGGCAUUAAAAGAAAAAAAUCAAUAAGCUAUCAAAAUUAAGACAUCUGAUCUUUGAAAUAUACUUUGAAAAUAUAUAUAUAUAAAGAAAAGGCAAACUAGACUAGGAUAAAAUAUUUUAAAAAAUAUCCUACAAAGAAUUUCAGAAUACAUAAAAGAGACAAAACAACCCAAUAAAAAUACACAAGAGAUUUGAGUAGACAUGGAAGCAAGGAAGACUCAGAGGUGAAUGUUUGUGUAGUGUGUGUAAGACUUGGGUUCACCCCAGCACUGAAUACAACAAGGAAGACUCAGAGGUGAAUGUUUGUGUAGUCUGUGUAAGACCUGGGUUCACCCCAGCACUGAAAACACAAGGAAGGCAAAGGAUGAUGAAGAGGCUCAUGAGAGGAUGCUCAUCAGAGUCAGCAGGAAAUGCAAACUCAAACCGCAGUGAAGUUCCAUUACAUACUCGCUAGACUAGAUACAUUUUUAAAAGACCUUGUUUUUAUUUUUAUUUGUGUGUGUGCAUACCCUCAGAGACCAGAAAAGGGUGUUUGAUCCCCUAAAGCUGGAGUUACAGACAGUUGUAAGCCACCCAACAUAGGUACUGGAAACUGAGCCCAUUUCUCUGCAAGAACAACAAGCACUCCUAACUGCUGAGCCAUCUCUCUAGCCCUAGACUUUAAGAGUGACUGACACAGUCAAAACUGGAACUCUCAUACACUGUGUCUUAGUUACUUUCCUAUUGCUGUGAUAAAACACCACAACCAAAGCAACUUACUUAGAAGAGUUUAUUGGGGGCUUACAGUUUCAGAGGGUCAGUUGGAGUCCAUAGCCAUCAUGUUGGGGAGCAUGACAGCAAACAGGCAGGCAAUGGAGCAUUAGCUGAGAGCUUAUAACUUGAUUCACAAGCACGAGGCAGAGAGGUAACUGGGGAUGACUUGGGCUUUUGAAACCUCAAAGCCAGCUCCCAGUGACACACUUCAUCCAACAAGGCCACACCUCCUAAUCCUUCCCAAACAGUUCCACCAACUGGGGACCAAGCAUUCAAAUAUAUGAAUCUAUGGGGGCCAUUCUUAUUCAGACCACCACAUACUGCUGGUAAGAAUGUGAAAUUUCCAGUUCUACCAUUUUGGAAAUUGUUUUAGCAAUAUUUUGCUAGCAUGGAUGUGUACCUAAUAUGACCCUACCAUUCCACUUUGAUAUUUCCCCAAAGAAGUGAGUGAUGUCUAAAGAUUUGGACACAAACAUUCACACCCACUUUUCUUGUAAUAAUCCUACACUGACAGCCAUUCACAUGUUCCUUAUUGGGUGAGUGUACAAACACUGUGCUCAGGCACACACUAUAAUACUACACAGCGACAAGAAAUGAAUUCCACAGGCAGUAGCCAGUGUAUCUUGGUAUAACCUUGCUAUAUGAAAGGAACUUGAUGUUAAAUGGAAUACUUGCUGUGUAAUUCCAUGUCUACAGAAUUUUAGAAAAUGUCAUCUUAUCCAUACUGACAGAGGGCAGAUCAGUAUUUGCCCUGGGACCAAGAGGAGGGGUUACAGGAUGAAUAAAGAAUUUUGGAAGUGAUGAUUAUGUCUGCUAUCUUGAGUGUGCUGAUAAUGUGUAGCUAUGUCCAGUUUCUCAUUUUAUACUCUUUAUUAUUAGUAUUAUUUUUUUAUUGAGAGAGUUCUUCAUAUGUAGCCCAGUCUUGUCUCAUAUGCACAGUUCUCCCUCGGCCUCCCAAGUGCUGAGAUGCAUUUCCACAGUUGCUUGAGAUUGUACUUCAUGCAAUUUGUUUAUGCCAAUUGCAGCUCAGUAAAGCUGGCAUUAGUCAUCAGAUCAAGACUUCAGAAGGUAAGUGGUACUCAGACAAAGUGCUACAAGAGAGAGAGACCAUAGAAAGAGCCUUGGAACUAGACUGGAUUGCUCACAUGGAAAGGCUUGCUUGAGGUACUGAGGGGCUCAGAAAAGGAAUGUGUGAGCUGGGACACAGGAUGGAGCAGUUGGAAACUGAAACUGAGUUCCAACUGUGUCUUUGGUGACUGAAGGAGCUGAACAUGUGUGUCAAGGGCAAAGUUGCAAUUAGUCCUGCAUAUUAAAAUCACAGUUGGAUCUGUGUGCUCUGCGCUAGUAGGCAGACAAUGACACAAAGAUGUCAUUUAUUCUUUCCCUGUGGGCUCCUUUCUGUGGGCGAGCACUCUUCCUGGGCACUUCUCUCGUGUAUGUGAGACUUAAGAAACUAAGAUUUUAGCUUCCCUUAUGCCCUACAGGCAGCGCAGGAUAGGAUUCUGAUUAGUUUUAGUUCAGUGUGCAUUCCUUAUGCCUGCAGAAUUAGCUAGACCACAGCAACAGUCUGUCUCAAGGAGGUCCUUAUUGACAUCAAGUAGCAUUGGUGGGUUGCUAGUAGCAUUGAGACUGACUGAUUUCCUCACAGAGAAACAUGGUUUUGAGAUCAAACUAUGGAGUCCGGGAGCUAGGCCACACAAGUGCCCAGAGAAGGAAUAUUUCACUCAAGGGAAAGCCUGGGCUGGGCAUGCUCGUUGACCUUUAAAUUUGAGAGAAUCCUAGAGGAAGGAGAAGGUGCAUGGAAGGUGAAGGUCGGGGAGUAAGUGCUGGAGCAGCUACAGGCAGGGGAAGAACAUAGACAGACAGACAGACAGACAGACACACGCACACACACACGCACACGCACACGCACGCGCAUGCACAGCAGGAAGACAGGGAGGGCUAACGAACAGGGCAUCUACUGCAGAAGCCAGACUCUGGCCCAGCUGCUGCUUAGAGCGCCUGUAUUUGCUCUGAACACUUACUGAGAAGCGUAAACCCUGCCUCCAGCUUCCUAAUCCUGGCUGCCGCCCCUGGAGUUUAGAGACAGUGGCGUGCCUUGCAUUUGUGCCUCUGGCUGUCUCGGGGCAGAGUUGAAAACUGAAGAAAUCUGAGGCAAAAAAAAUCCCGUGGGAGAAUGAAUUGACUAAACACGGAGCAAUACUAGCUUUGGAAGAAUUCCACACACAGCAAGACGAGUCUGAACCUUGAGCUACUUCUCUGUGUUGCAGUCUCCACAGGCACCAGGCAGCAGCAUGGCUGUCCAGGCAGCUUGUUAGAAAUUCGGGUUGCCUAGACUUGAGUCAGGACCUCCCAGCAGGGCCCACGAACCACCUGUGGAUUCUAAUGUCCCCUCCAUCUUGAAGCCCUUUGACCUCUCAUUAGGAAGCCCAGUGUGUGUGUGUGUGUGUGUGUGUGUGUGUGUGUGUGUGUGUGUGUGUGUGUGUGUGUGUGUGUGUGUGUUAAGACCCAUAAUGAUGUGAUAACUUUGGAAAUUGAAAAGCGCUGUUUUCACAUGCUGGAGUAUUAUUUUAUUGACUACUUCAGUCAGGGUCUUUUUUUCUUUAAUGUAUAUGUAUGUUGCCUAUAGCUACACCUGUGCAUCACUGUGUGCUUGGUGCCUGUGGAGGCCAGAAAGGAGUACCAGAUCCCCUGGAACUGGAGUUACAGAUGUUUGUGAGCCACCAUGGGGAUGCCGGGAGUCGAACCCGGGUCCUCUGAAACUGCACUGGCUGUUCUUAAUCUCUAAGCCAUCUCUCUAGCCCCUUACUUGGAUUUUAGUAUUUUGUUUGGGAGACCUUCCCUUAUCCUCACUUUCCUUACCCCAAAGAAACCCAAAAUCUUACAAGUGAAUAGGAGAAUUGAUUCAAAGACUCUGGGGAGAAAGGAGCGGGCCCAGCUGGGGCUUGCUGGAGAGUGCGGCUUUGUUUUCUCUGGGACUUUGUGUUCAGUUUGUUUCUUUCAGCAGAGAAGCACAAGGCUGAUGACUCACAUUUACUGUUGAGUCUUAAAAUCCAAACUGCAGCUGUCAAAAUAAGAUGAGUGCCUUUAGGCACUCGGAAAGAAAGGAGAUGGUCCCCAAAAUGUGGGCUUGGGUUUGGCUUGCCUUUGUAGAUCUCUAACCCACGGGUGAGUCUUUGUGUUAGGCAGGCAGAGACCCCAGUGUUGCCAGUGGAGUGAAAUCACAGCCGUGGUAAGUCUCUCCUCCUCUUGCUGUGGUAAACAGUUUCUGAUGUCUGCAUCUUGGCUUAAAUAAUAGGAGGAACUUUAAAAAACAAAACAACAACAACAAAAAAAAAACCACUAGCGUGCCUAA